GCCGGGUAUGGUGGCUCACGCCUGUAAUCCCAGCACUUUGGGAGGCUGAGGCAGGAGGAUCACCUGAGGUCAGGAGUUCAAGACCAGCCUGGCCAACAUGGUGAAACCCUGUCUCUA
rnacentral:sRNA from 1 species